AAUAAAUACAGUUUUACACUAUUCAUGAUCAACGUUUGACCGUUCGUCUUAUUUAAAAUUUUUUAUGAUUAUUAUUUCUAUUGCUAUUAGAUGAUAAAACAUGAAUAGUAUUUUAUGUGUGACUAAAUAUUUUUAAAUUUUUCAUAAAUUUUUCAAAUAAGACAGAUGGUUAAAUAUUAGACAUGAAUAUUCACGGCUGCACUUAUU
rfam:Oryza glumipatula chromosome 2, whole genome shotgun sequence.